CCUACGGGCGGCUGCAGUGGGGAAUAUUGCACAAUGGGCGCAAGCCUGAUGCAGCCAUGCCGCGUGUGUGAAGAAGGCCUUCGGGUUGUAAAGCACUUUCAGCGGGGAGGAAGGCGGUGAGGUUAAUAACCUCAUCGAUUGACGUUACCCGCAGAAGAAGCACCGGCUAACUCCGUGCCAGCAGCCGCGGUAAUACGGAGGGUGCAAGCGUUAAUCGGAAUUACUGGGCGUAAAGCGCACGCAGGCGGUCUGUCAAGUCGGAUGUGAAAUCCCCGGGCUCAACCUGGGAACUGCAUUCGAAACUGGCAGGCUAGAGUCGUGUAGAGGGGGGUAGAAUUCCAGGUGUAGCGGUGAAAUGCGUAGAGAUCUGGAGGAAUACCGGUGGCGAAGGCGGCCCCCUGGACAAAGACUGACGCUCAGGUGCGAAAGCGUGGGGAGCAAACAGGAUUAAUACCCCAGUAGUC
rnacentral:rRNA from 1 species